rnacentral:lncRNA from 1 species
CUGGGACCCAGGAGGACCCGGCUUGAGUCCUGGACAUGCGGAUUUCUAGAGUCAGGCAGGGGAGGCAUCCGGCCUCUGGAAGGCUGGGCUUCAGGUAGUGAAGGCGGUGUGUCACUGCGGUGGUAUCUGGGAGGCGUGCCGAGCCUCUCCGUGUGCGCGUCCCUCCAGAAAUCUCCACAUCCCCCUGCUUCUCUCUCCACCAGAGCCGCCUCUCCCUCUGCGACUGCCUGCCUGCCUGCCUGCCUGCCUGCCUGCCUGCCUGCCUGUGCCAAGAAGCCUACCCGAAUCGAGGGAAGAGAGAACGAUGCCCGGGAGCGCCUUAACUUCACGCCGGGCGCAAGGGCGGAAGGGGGCCGAUUGGUUGACAGCCGGCUGCCUUGCCUUAAGAAGCAGGGCGUCUGAUGUCAAGCCGCCUCUCCCUCUGCCGACUGCCUGCCUGCUGCCUGCCUGCCUGCCUGCCUGCUGUGCAAGAAGCCUACCCGAAUCGAGGGAAGAGAGAACGAUGCCCGGGAGCGCCUUAACUUCACGCCGGGCGCAAGGGCGGAAGGGGGCCG